rnacentral:rRNA from 1 species
ACUUAAUAGUAAUAAUAGAGUUAAUUAUUAUUUAUAAAUUUAGGUCUAGGUGCAGCUUAUAAAAAGGAUGAAAUGAAUUAUAUUAGUUAGAUUUAGCUAAUUUUUUAAAGAAUUUUAAGAAAUAAGUAAGAUUUAAAAGUAAAUUUAUGAGAGAAUCUUAAGUUGAAAUAAGCUCUGAAGUAUGUACAUAUCGCCCGUCGCUCUCAUGAAUAAUUGAGAUAAGUCGUAACAAAGUAAAUAUACCGGAAGGUGUUU